GUAGGCGGUCUUGUAAGUCAGUGGUGAAAGCCCAUCGCUCAACGGUGGAACGGCCAUUGAUACUGCAGGACUUGAAUUAUUAGGAAGUAACUAGAAUAUGUAGUGUAGCGGUGAAAUGCUUAGAGAUUACAUGGAAUACCAAUUGCGAAGGCAGGUUACUACUAAUGGAUUGACGCUGAUGGACGAAAGCGUGGGUAGCGAACAGGAUUAGAUACCCUGGUAGUCCACGCCGUAAACGAUGGAUACUAGCUGUUGGGGGCAACUUCAGUGGCUAAGCGAAAGUGAUAAGUAUCCCACCUGGGGAGUACGAACGCAAGUUUGAAACUCAAAUAAAUUGACGGGA
rnacentral:rRNA from 1 species